rnacentral:piRNA from 1 species
UGCCAACUUCAGAAGUAAGGAAUGUCAGG